UUGAACACUGUAGCAAAUAAUUUAGAUAGAAACUGUGUAAUAUUGUUUACUGAACAAUCUGUGAAUUUACUGAUAAAACAUCUUUAUGCUCACAUUUAUCUUACUUUUCCUUGCUGAAAACACAUAAUACGCCAUUGUUGUCCAACUGGUCUCUGGUUGUUGUCCUUAGACUGUCUCAUGAGAGAAUAGAUCUUCUUGUUAGACUGAGACAAGAGACUAUUCGAUUGUCAGAUAGAUAAUAUUCAUUUGUGGAAUAGUCUGAUGGUACUGUCCUGGAAGUUUCCACUUCUUGAGUGUUAGUUUAUAUGCGAUUCCAGGUUAUAGAGGUGCAGCCUCUAUUUUACAGUGUAAUGCUGUUCUAUAAACUACACGAUAGAAAGUGCGUUUAGAUACACAGACUAUUACGUAUUUGAAUAUUCUUUACCCCUAUUGUUCUCGCUAUUUGAGUUUCUUGUUAAAUAUAAAGUAAAGUUAAUGUGUCAGAAGUAUUUUAACCCUGUUGGUCUAGUAAUAUAAAGUACACCCGCGUUUAAACCAUUCUCUGUUUUGUUUUAGACUAGUUAUUCUAGUCUAUUGAGGUUCCCUGUGUACCUGUAAACACAGGUGGUGGCAGCAAAGUAAAAGACACCCGUUUGGCCAGUUAUUACAUUGGUGGCAGCGGUGGGAUACUCAACAGUUACACGAGUAUCCAGUGAUACGAACCCAUACCUAGAAAUAGUAAUACGAAUAAACAGAGAUGGUGAAAACAAGAUCAACCAGAGACCACAGUGGUGAAGACACCUAUGACAC
rnacentral:lncRNA from 1 species